rnacentral:lncRNA from 1 species
GCGUGCGCGGACCGACACUGUCAGCUCCUAACGCCGCAGGUUCCUCCUGGUCCCCGAGGCCCCCGGUCGGGCGUUGCCUGCCCCGCGCGGGCGGCCGGGCCGAGGGACGAUGGUCAGUGGACGGACGGCGCCAGGGAGCAGUGCCCACGCGCGGCAGGGCGGUACCUUCAGGCCUCCAGGUGUCAUCGAACACCCUUGUGCUUGCUGUCACCCGCUGCCUGUCUGCAGGAUCCCGGAUUCCGUAUCAGGGGACCGAAAUUAGUCGGAAAAUAGGAAGCAGGUGCUCGCUUGGAUGGAACCCUGACCCUGUGCUCACACUUGUAGGAGGAGGGCUCUGCAGGCCGCCUCCCGGAACGGGAGGUUCCCAAGCCACUGCACUUCGGAGGGGCUGUAAUUAGAGUUGCACAUUCAUUCAGUUCCCAGUAAAGUAGAACGUGCUCCAGCCAGUGAGGAAAAGGUGUUUUUAAAAAUUAGAUUGGCCGAGUGCGGUGGCUCAUGCCUUUUACCUCAACACUUUGGGAGACAAAGGUGGGAGGAUCACCUGUGGCCAGGAGUUCAAGACCAGCCUGGGCAACAGAGCCUGUCUCUGGGGAAGAAUAAAAAAAAAAAUUGAGCCUUUGU